GACGUAGGGGACGAGCGUUGUCCGGAAUCAUUGGGCGUAAAGAGCGUGUAGGCGGCCCGAUAAGUCCGCCGUGAAAGUCCAGGGCUCAACCCUGGAAUGCCGGUGGAAACUGUCGGGCUGGAGUCCGGAAGAGGCGAGUGGAAUUCCUGGUGUAGCGGUGAAAUGCGCAGAUAUCAGGAGGAACACCAAUGGCGAAGGCAGCUCGCUGGGACGGUACUGACGCUGAGACGCGAAAGCGUGGGGAGCAAACAGG
rnacentral:rRNA from 1 species